rnacentral:lncRNA from 1 species
GGGUCGGGGAUGAGGCUUGGCUCCCGUAGGGGUCUGGGCGGAGUCUUCCUGCAAUUAAAGUCAGGGGUGAAGUCUGGCUCCCGUAGGAGUCCGAGCGAAGCUUACCAGCGGUUGAAGUUGGUGACGGAGCCCGGCUCCCGUAGGAGUCUGGGCGGAGUCUGCUUGCGGUCGGAGUUGUGGGCGGAGUCCGACUCCCGUAGGAGUCCGGACGAGGUCUGUCUGCAGCCGGAGUCGUGGACGAGGCCCGG